rnacentral:rRNA from 1 species
CCGGCACGGGUGAGUAACACGUAUCCAACCUGCCGUCUACUCUUGGACAGCCUUCUGAAAGGAAGAUUAAUACAAGAUGGCAUCAUGAGUCCGCAUGUUCACAUGAUUAAAGGUAUUCCGGUAGACGAUGGGGAUGCGUUCCAUUAGAUAGUGGCGGGGUAACGGCCCACCUAGUCUUCGAUGGAUAGGGGUUCUGAGAGGAAGGUCCCCCACAUUGGACUGAGACACGGCCCAA